GUGCUUGCUUCAGCAGCACAGAUCCUAAAGUUGGAACAGUACAGAAAAGAUUAGCAUGGCCCCUGCGCAAGGAAUAGAGAAAGAUACCAAGGCUGGUAUUAUAGUGUC